rnacentral:rRNA from 1 species
AGAGUUUGAUCCUGGCUCAGAACGAACGCUGGCGGCAUGCCUAACACAUGCAAGUCGAACGAAGGCUUCGGCCUUAGUGGCGCACGGGUGCGUAACGCGUGGGAAUCUGCCCUUAGGUGCGGAAUAACAGUUAGAAAUGACUGCUAAUACCGCAUAAUGACUCCGGUCCAAAGAUUUAUCGCCUAAGGAUGAGCCCGCGUAGGAUUAGCUUGUUGGUGAGGUAAAAGCUCACCAAGGCGACGAUCCUUAGCUGGUCUGAGAGGAUGAUCAGCCACACUGGGACUGAGACACGGCCCAGACUCCUACGGGAGGCAGCAGUGGGGAAUAUUGGACAAUGGGCGAAAGCCUGAUCCAGCAAUGCCGCGUGAGUGAUGAAGGCCUUAGGGUUGUAAAGCUCUUUUACCCGGGAAGAUAAUGACUGUACCGGGAGAAUAAGCCCCGGCUAACUCCGUGCCAGCAGCCGCGGUA